CAGUCGCCGCGGUAAUACGUAGGGUGCAAGCGUUAAUCGGAAUUACUGGGCGUAAAGCGUGCGCAGGCGGUUCUAUAAGACAGAUGUGAAAUCCCCGGGCUCAACCUGGGAACUGCAUUUGUGACUGUAGAGCUGGAGUACGGCAGAGGGGGAUGGAAUUCCGCGUGUAGCAGUGAAAUGCGUAGAUAUGCGGAGGAACACCGAUGGCGAAGGCAAUCCCCUGGGCCUGUACUGACGCUCAUGCACGAAAGCGUGGGGAGCAAACAGGAUUAGAUACCCCCGUAGUCCCUGUCUCUUAUAC
rnacentral:rRNA from 1 species